GCGAGUGGCGAACGGGUGAGUAACACGUGGAUAACCUGCCUCAAGGCUGGGGAUAACAUUUGGAAACAGAUGCUAAUACCGAAUAAAACUUAGUAUCGCAUGAUAUCAAGUUAAAAGGCGCUACGGCGUCACCUAGAGAUGGAUCCGCGGUGCAUUAGUUAGUUGGUGGGGUAAAGGCUUACCAAGACAAUGAUGCAUAGCCGAGUUGAGAGACUGAUCGGCCACAUUGGGACUGAGACACGGCCCAAACUCCUACGGGAGGCUGCAGUAGGGAAUCUUCCACAAUGGGCGCAAGCCUGAUGGAGCAACGCCGCGUGUGUGAUGAAGGCUUUCGGGUCGUAAAGCACUGUUGUAUGGGAAGAAAUGCUAAAAUAGGGAAUGAUUUUAGUUUGACGGUACCAUACCAGAAAGGGACGGCUAAAUACGUGCCAGCAGCCGCGGUAAUACGUAUGUCCCGAGCGUUAUCCGGAUUUAUUGGGCGUAAAGCGAGCGCAGACGGUUGAUUAAGUCUGAUGUGAAAGCCCGGAGCUCAACUCCGGAAUGGCAUUGGAAACUGGUUAACUUGAGUGUUGUAGAGGUAAGUGGAACUCCAUGUGUAGCGGUGGAAUGCGUAGAUAUAUGGAAGAACACCAGUGGCGAAGGCGGCUUACUGGACAACAACUGACGUUGAGGCUCGAAAGUGUGGGUAGCAAACAGGAUUAGAUACCCUGGUAGUCCACACCGUAAACGAUGAAUACUAGGUGUUAGGAGGUUUCCGCCUCUUAGUGCCGAAGCUAACGCAUUAAGUAUUCCGCCUGGGGAGUACGACCGCAAGGUUGAAACUCAAAGGAAUUGACGGGGACCCGCACAAGCGGUGGAGCAUGUGGUUUAAUUCGAAGCAACGCGAAGAACCUUACCAGGUCUUGACAUCCUUUGAAGCUUUUAGAGAUAGAAGUGUUCUCUUCGGAGACAAAGUGACAGGUGGUGCAUGGUCGUCGUCAGCUCGUGUCGUGAGAUGUUGGGUUAAGUCCCGCAACGAGCGCAACCCUUAUUGUUAGUUGCCAGCAUUCAGUUGGGCACUCUAGCGAGACUGCCGGUGACAAACCGGAGGAAGGCGGGGACGACGUCAGAUCAUCAUGCCCCUUAUGACCUGGGCUACACACGUGCUACAAUGGCGUAUACAACGAGUUGCCAACCUGCGAAGGUGAGCUAAUCUCUUAAAGUACGUCUCAGUUCGGACUGCAGUCUGCAACUCGACUGCACGAAGUCGGAAUCGCUAGUAAUCGCGGAUCAGCACGCCGCGGUGAAUACGUUCCCGGGUCUUGUACACACCGCCCGUCACACCAUGGGAGUUUGUAAUG
rnacentral:rRNA from 1 species